UCCUCGGUAGCUCAGUCGGUAGAGCAGGUGACUGUUAAUCACUUAGUCGGGGGUUCAAGUCCCUCCCGAGGAGCCA
rnacentral:tRNA from 1 species